rnacentral:lncRNA from 1 species
GGCAGAAUUCAACUUUAGGCUCUAAGUUCAAAUUCCUCAGAGGUCAACUUAACCUUCCAUCCUUUUGGGGUCGAUUAAUCAAGUACCAGUGAUGCACUGGGGUCGAUGUAAUCAAUUCAUCCCCUUCCCGGAAAUGGCUGCCCUUGUGGCAAAAUUUGAAACCACCAUUAUUAUUAAGGCGGUGAGCUGACAGAAUUCGUUUUUAUGCUCUGAGUUCAAAUUCCGCUGAGAUCGACUUAGCCUUUCAUCAUUUUGGGGGUCGAUAAAUUAAGUACCAGUGAUAUACUGGUGUCGAUGUAAUCGACUUACUCCCUUCCCUAAAAUUGCAUGCCUUGCGCCAAAAUUUGAAAUUAUUGUUUUAUUGUUGUUGUUGUUGUUGUUGUUAUUAUUAUUAUUAUUAUUAUUAUUAUUAUUAUUAUUAUUAUUAUUAUUAUCAUUAUUAUUAUUAUUAUUAUUAUUAUUAGAUAACAGUUUGGGCUGUGUUUGUUGUAAAAGUAUGUUUCUUGUCUGAAAUGAUUGGUGGGAUUUUUGAAAGUGUGGGUGGAGUUUUUGGAAAUGUGGGUGGAGUUCUUUAAAUGUGGGUGGAGUUUUUGAAACAGACUGGUAUUAAAAAUAUUAAGAAAACAACUUAUGGGUGUGUCUUUGAGAACUAUGGGUGUAUCUUUUUAACCCAUGGGUGGAGAUUUUGAAUCUGUGGAUGAAUCUUUUGUAACACUGAGUGGACUUCACAACUAACUGUCAUACCCCUGAACACUGGUUGCCUGUGUGCUGGCUGCUCAUCCCAUUGUAUAUUAGACUUGCCUCACACAUACAUGUAGUCCAUCACCAUCAGGUUGAUGUGCUCCACUGAGUAACAAGAGACACCUACCAUCACUGACAUAACAGCUGCAUCCCCCCCCCCAUUAAUAGGGGAUAAAUUUUAACCUCUGCCAGUGAUCAAUCAACAUCGAGAUGGGUUUAAUCAGUUAUUUAAUAAACCGCAGUGUGAAAGCACAUGGCUUAGUGGUUAGGGUAUUCAGCUCACAAUCGUAAGGUCAUGAGUUCAAUACCUGGCACCGCGUUGUGUUCUUGAGCAAGGCACUUUAUUUCACGUUGCUCCAGUCCACUCAGCCGGCAAAAAUGAGUUGUACCUGUAUUUCAAAGAGCCAGCUUUGUCACACUCUGUGUCAUGCUGGAUCUCCCUGACAACAAUUAAGGGUACACGUGUCUGUGGAGGGCUCAGCUACUUGCAUGUUAAUUCCAUGAGCAAGCUGUUCCUUUGAUCAGAUCAACAGGAACCCUCGUCGUGUAAAUGAUGCAGUACCAGUUUUAAUAAACCACCCUUCUACUCUCCCACACUGAAGAUUGAACUGGAAACCAUAUAUUAUUUCUGCCACCACAUUCAACCUUAUCUGAUCCCAGUUAAGGAUUAUUAUAUUCCUUACAUACAGGUAAAUAAAUGAAUGUUAUUAAAUAUUUUAGCAUCCAUUUACCUGUAUAGGAUUCUUAUCAGUGUCAGAAAAACACAAAAAGGUGGAAGUCUAAUUUUUUUUGUUCAAAUUUAACUUAUGAUGUCCUAAAUACUGUCCCUGGAGGGGAAAUUAACAAAUGUUAUUGGCAAGGAAUGCUUGAACCUGUGAAUUCAGUCAAACAAUGUUUAGCAACAUAACAGUGCUGAUAAUUGUUUCUACUUUAGGCACAAAACCUGAAUUUUUGAGGGGAGGGGCUAGUUUAUUUGUUGAUUACAUUGACCCUAGUUUUGGACUAGCUGGUUCUUUAUUCUAUUGACUUCAGAAGGAUGGAAGGCAAAGUCAAACUUGAUGAGAUGUAAACUUAGAAUGUAAAGUACCAGAACAUGUUGCAAGAUAUUUUAUUCCAGCACUCCAAUAUUUCUGCCAAUCCAUUAUACAGUUCCUGGAGGGGUGGGCAUCUAGCUGCUGAAAUCAUGCCAAAAUAGACAUUGAAGCUCAAUGCAGACCUCUGGCUUGUGGGUUCCAGAUUAAAUGUCCAACCCAUGCUAGCAUGGAAAAUGGACAUUAAAUGAUGAUGAUAUUGGCAAGGAAUGCAUGAAGAAGUAAAAUCCGUUCACCCAUUCUUUGGCAAUGUAACAGUUUUAUUAAUUGAUUACUAAAAGAGUCUGAAAACCAGAAAUUUAGGAAAAACGGUUAACUGUUUAAAUAAAACCUAGUAAUACCUCAUUAUUUGAUAUAUUUUAUCAACCCCUGGAAGGCAAAAAAACAGAGCUUGCUCUGACGAGGAUUUGAACUCCGAGACAAUAAAAGGACUAAUUAAAUACUGAAAGGUAUUUUAUCUGACCCUGAAUAAAUGAAAUACAGAUUUGCCGAUGUUUUGAAAAUUAUAUUGUUAAAAAUGUGGCAAGCUGACAGAAUCGUUAAUGCAUUGGACAAAAUGCUUAUUGAAAUUUCCUCAGCUUUUUUAGUUUGUGAGUUCAAGUCUUACUGGGGUCAGCUUUGCCUUUUAUCCUUUUGGGGUCAAUAGAAUUAAAGUAUUAGUUGAAUACUAGGGUCAAUGUGACCGACUUACACCUGUUCCUAUCACUACUGGUACUUAGUGAAAAUUUGAAACAGUUAUUAUCAUUAUUAUCUGUGAGUUGGCAUAAGCUGUGAGUUGGCAGAACUCUUAACAUGCCAGGCAAAAUGCUUAGCAGCGUUUCAUCCAUCGCAACAUUCUGAGUUCAAAUGCCACCAAAAUCAACCUUGCUCUUCACCAUUUUGGAGAUGAUAAAAUAAGUACCAGUUGUAUACUGACGUCAUUGUAAUCAAUUUAACCACUCUUUAAAAAAUUGCUGGCCUUGUGCCAAAACUUGAGGUACAUGAAUUGGUAGUAUCUAUAGAGUGGUGAACGAAAUACCUUGCAUUAUUUAGAUACAAAUCAUUACAUUCUGUGUUCAAAUUAUGCUGAGGUCAACUGUAUCUUUAAUUCUUGCACGAAUGUUGAUGAAAUAAGGAACCAAUCAGGUACAGGGCCAGUUUAAUUGACUAAACCCCUAUCCCCUAAAAUAUAUGGCUUCAUGACAUAUAUUGUUUUUCAUUAAUAUUGCUAUAUUUAUUAAGGCAUUGAAUUGGCAGAGAUAGUAGAAUGCUAGACUGAAUCCAUAGGGAAUGGUUUUGCGAGUCAUGUUUUUAAAGAAUUCUCUAUGGUCUGUGUUCAAAUUCAAAUUCCACAGAAAAGGGGGUUUGAUAGUCACUGUGCAUCUGCCCCCAGUGGAAGGUCAAUUAUAAAGUAAAAUAAUGGUCGCUUACUCUUGUGGAAACAAGCAACUGCAUGUCCUUCCCUGCCCCCUUCAAGGGUCUUGUGCACUUAUGUCAUUGUAAGAAAUCAGUAUUUGCCUCACUUCCCUCAAAAUCAAGGGCCUUGUACUGAAAUUUGAAACCAUUAUUAUUAUUAUUAUUAUUAUUAUUAUUAUUAUUAUUAUUAUUAUUAUAGUUAUGAUGCAGUAUUGUUUAUUCUUUUUAUUCAUGUUCUUUGUUUGGAAUCUGAGAAUAUUAUUAACAUUACCAUUAUUAUUAUCAUUAUUAUUAUUAUUAUUAUUAUUACUAAGAAGGCAGUGAGCUGGCAGAAUUGUUAGCAAAUCGGGUGAAAUACUUAGCGGUAUUUCGUCUGUCGCUACGUUCUGACUUCAAAUUCUGCCAAGGUCAACUUUUCCUUUCGUCCUUUUGGGGUUGAUAAAAUAAGUACCAGUGAAAUACUGGGGUUGAUGUAAUCGACUAGUCUCCCUCCCCCAAAUUUCAGGCCUUGUGUCUAUAGUACAAAGAAUCAUUAUUAUUAUUAUGAUUGAGAGUGGUGGAUGGCAGACAUGACGAAGUAUCUGACAAAAUUCUUUUUAUUUACACAAACAUGCACACACAUGUACAUAUAUAUAUAUAUAUAUAUAUAUAUGUGCGUGUGUGCGUCUUUGUGUAUGUGCUUGUAUAUAUGUGUGUGUAUAUAUAUGUGUGU